ACCAAAUUCCCUAGUUGUCGUCGCUCUUUCUUUUCUUCUCAAAAUCACGCCUCCUCCGCUCGUUUCUUCUCAUCGACGCACACACAAAACCUCCGCUCCAUCUGUUGAAGUUGUGUUUCCUCCCCAUGAUCACAGUCGAUAGUGUCUUCUCCGCCUCUAGCUUCGAUUCCUAUGUCACUACAGUUCUGACUCCACCUCCGACGACUUCUGCAACGAUUUAUGCAGAUGAUUUGCUUCUUAAACAACUUCUGAAAUCAGAUUUCAUAGAAAACUUGUUUUUUUUUCUUUUCUUUUUUCUGAAUUUAGAUGCGGUGUAAAAAUAUAUAGACUUGCUGAAAUUAAAUGUUUUUUUUUUUUCUAAAAUCAAACUCUUGAAAUGUUGAAAUCAGAAAUUUGAUGUUAUAAUGUUAUGAAAUAUGAUCUUAACUGUUGUUGUUGCAGAUAUAUGCUUUUCUUUUGAUGUGAAUCUGAUGCUAUGAAAUCUGAUGUUGAAUGUUGAUGAAAAUAUGCUUUUCUUUUGCUUAAAUGUUGUUGAAAUAUGCAUUUGUUUAGCUGAAUUGUUCAUUUGUUAUGUUGAAUUGUUGUUGAAAUGUGCAUUUCUUUUGCUUAAAUGUUGUUGAAAUAUGCAUUUGUUUGUUGAAUUGAUCAAAUACAUAGGAGAAAAGAAGGAUAGAAUUAGUUGGAAGGUUGAAGGUGUAGAGAAAACUUUUCUAGAGGCUUGUUUACAUGAAGUUACGGCCAAUGGACGGGAAUGAAGUAAUCUGGAAGCACUAUCUUGGAGGAAUGUGACUGAAAAUUUAAGAAGUGAGCAUAAUUUCAUUGCCGACCAAAAACAAUUGAACAACUGCUAUGACUACCUAAAUUCAAAGUUUGUUGCUUUUUUGAAGUUAAAAAAGAAAACCGACAAUGUUUACAAUCCAACAACCAACACCUUCAAUCUUUCCAAAGAAGGGGAACUAGAAACAAAGUCAAACAAACAUGUUUAUUCUUUGAGACACAUGUCACUACCCUUCCCCGACCUUUGCACACAAUUGUUUAAAGGCACGACUUCGACAUGCAUUGAUGGUUGGGGCCAAGUUCUACCCUUCCCCGUCUUACUCAAGAUUCAACCCACUAUAGUUUGAAUGACUAUGAUGAAAACGAUUGCACUCAACAAGAACCUAUAGGUCUCAGUAAGGAGUCUUCGUUUCAAUAAAAAAAACGAAAGACUAUAGAUACGACAAUGAGAAAAGAUAAGGGUAAAGAUAAAGGUAAAGAUGCAUCAAACUCGAGAUUUCUUGAAAUUGGGGAAGAUAUUGCCACAGUUGCUAAGAUAUUUUUGAAAAAGCAUGUUUCUUCAAAUCUUGGUGUGCGUGUGGAAAAGUUGGAGAAGUUAGGAUGGGGAAUAUUUGAUCCACUAUACACUAUAAUUGUUGCUCUUUUUGAUGAAGGUGCGAAUAAGAGGCAAGUUUGGCUAACCAUUGAUCCACCUAUUUGUGAGAAUUGGGUCAGGAGCGUUGAAGCAUGUUAUGGAAUGUUUGGUUAAGUACAUGUUUUGAAUGAUUUGAGGUUUUUUUUGGAAAACUAUAUGUGUUGAAUGACAAUGUUUUGGAUAACUAGAUGUUUUGGAUAAAUAGAUGUUUUGAAUGACUUGAAUGGA